rnacentral:tRNA from 1 species
GCCGGGAUCGCAUAACCUGGUAUUGCACAAACUUUUUGAGCUUGACCCUCUGGGUGUCUGGGUUCAAAUCCCAGUCCCGGCG